UCCUAAGACAAUGUGAUACAUUUUUAUAUCUUAUAUAUGAUUUAAAGCUUAUCAGAGAAUUAGAGAAGCCUGAACUCCUGUCUUCUCUAGUGCCUGUUUGUUCAUUUGCUUUAAGUAUAUCUUAAGGUUAAAAGCUUAGCUCCACUACAUGACUGAGCCCAUAUAUCAAAAUGCAGAGGGGAAUCUUGAGCCAUAGGAAUACGGUAAAAUUGGGGUAGUGACUAUGCUAAAGAAUCAAGAAUGCUGGAACUCUCCAAAGUACCCAGACAAAAUGGAAGGAAAGACAAGAACUUAAAAUUAGGAUCAUCAAAAACACUGUUCCACAUGAAAUUGGCGACAGUUCCAAGCAGAGUAGCAUUCUGACUGCCAUGGUUACUGCUCACUGUCCUUUCCAUGGUCUAUGGUGAGAAAAAGGAGAGAGAAAGCAGAAAAAACAUGAAAAAUGUGUCAUUUGAUGAAAAAUUGUUCUGUGUUGUAGGUAAGGUGAAUGCUGAGAAGGCAGAUGUAAUUGUUAAAGAGAUGAAUGCCAUGAAAGAGAAAUCUGGUACCUUCCCUUGGAACAGCAGCCACAUGGUCUAAGAGUAAGGCCUCACCUAGCAGACCAGCCUUUUCUUUUAUUUCUUUUUUUAAGCUAGUGUCUUGUUUUGCUGAAACAAAAAUAAACUGUCUUGCUUUCAUUGUGUGUAGUUUGUUGAGUUAGUUAUUAUGGAGUAAGGGUCUUCAUUCUCACAGACCCUUGUAUAUACAUGUUUGUUGUUGCAUUAUUCAUAUUAGCACAGAAAUAGAAUUAGCAUAAAUGUCUACAAACAGAUUAAUGGAUAAUGGAAAUGUGAUACAUAUUUUGUAAUGGAAUUUUAUUUAGGCAUAAAGCAAAGUGAAGUGGUAAAAAAUGCAGAAAAAGUAAUGGAAUGGUAACAUAUUUUAUUAUAGAAGGUAACUUAUGAUCAGAAAUAUAAAUACUGCAUACCCUUUCACAUAUAUACUGUGGUGGUUUGAAUAUGCUUGGCCCAGGGAGUGGCACUAUUAGGAGUUGUGGCCUUGUUGGAAUAACUGUGGCUUUGUUGGAGGAAGAGUGUCUCUGUAGGAGUAGGCAAUGAGACACUCAUCCUAACCAUGUGGAAGCCAGUCUUUCCCUAACACCCUUCAGAUGGAGAUGUAGAACUCCCAAAUCCUUCACCAGUGCCAUACCUGCCUGGAUGCUGCCAUGUUUCCUGCCAUGAUGAUAAUGGACUGAAUCUCUGAACCUGUAAUCCAGCCCCAAUUAAAUGUUAGCCUUUAUAAGAGUUGCCUUGGUCAUCACAGCAGUAAAACCCAGGCUAAGACAUGUGGAUAAAUGCUUCUAAUUUUAUUUUAUUUGUGUUUAGGUAAGAAUAAGUGUAUGUAGAGUCCAGAGAAAUAUAAAGGGCCCCACAAGAAGGACAAUAAGAAACUUUAAUAAAGGUUCUGAAUAAGAUAAUAGAGCAUACAUGUUAUAAAAGUGGGAGAGGGAAUAUUGGGAAAUGGGGGUAGAAGUUGGGGACAGGCAGAAAAUUGAAAGAGAAGUGGGUCAGAGAGUGAGGAUCAACCCAAACUUGUUACAUAUGAAAAUCCUGUUAGGGAAUAAAGUGGAAAUUUCUGGUUUCUUUGGAGACUCAGUUAUGUCAUGUGAUGUUUGCUGAAAUAGACAAAGGCGAGAGGAUGUUUUGUUGAAGCAGAUAUGUGAGAAGAUGCAUGAUGUUUAGAAAGAAUAUAAAUAUGACCACAGAUAGUGGGGCAAGGCUAGUGCUUCGGUUCGCUUUGCACUACAUCACUGAUCUUCACUUGUUGUAACUUUAUAGAGAGUAACUCGCCAAAGAACUUCUGAUAUUCUGGCUGAUUCUUUCUGCUUCUGUGGACUCAUGCUGACAGAGCCUCACCAUUUCUUCUGAAUCCAUCAACCAAUACUGAUUCUGUUUGGUGUUUUCCAAUUAGACUGGACUGCUGCUACUGGUUUGUGUUUCAUGUUUUGGACUGGACUAUUGAUAUUCUGACAACAAAGAUUGGGAUCUCUCCAAAGAACUACUUCUAAACAGGUCCACAGCUCCUGUUUCCUAUUAACCUUUCCUUCACCCUACCUCUGGUAGGUGGGAUAGAAGGGAACCAUAUAAGAACCCUGAUUAAAAUAAGUUUUGAAAAAUCCAA
rnacentral:lncRNA from 1 species